ensembl:snRNA U6 U6 spliceosomal RNA
AUGCUUACUUCAGCAGCACAUAUACUAAAAUUGGAAUGAUACAAAGAAAAUUAGCCAUGGCCCCUGCACACGGAUGACACACAAAUUCAUGAAGCAUUCCAUAGUUUU